GGUUUGACAUACAAGUAGUAGGGAAAGGAAACUGGACCGACCCUUCGGGGAGCUUGAACAGGUGCUGCAUGGCUGUCGUCAGCUCGUGUCGUGAGAUGUUCGGUUAAGUCGCUAACGAGCGCAACCCUCGCUGUGUGUUACAAGUGUCACACGGAACUGCCGGUCAUAAACCGGAGGAAGUGGGGAUGACGUCAAGUCAGCAUGGCCUUUAUAUCCUGGGCUACACACACGCUACAAUGGGAAGGGACAAUAGGUUGCGAAACCGCGAGGUGGAGCCAAUCCAGCAAAACUUCCCUCAGUUCAGAUUGCAGGCUGCAACUCGCCUGCAUGAAGUUGGAGUUGCUAGUAAACGCAGGUCAGCCAUACUGCGUUGAAUACGUUCCCGGGGCUU
rnacentral:rRNA from 1 species